AAUUUUACUGCAAUUUCCUUUGAACUUUCUUGCCACUGUUUGGAAUCUUAAAAAUUCAUUAGCCUUCUCCUUUCUGACAUAAAGCUACUCUUCAUCAGAGAUGAGUUCCUAUGUAUGUCCUUUGUUCCUUCAAUAGCUAAUUAAUGUGCUUGAGGAUACUUCAGUGGAAAAAAAGGUUUAAAUAUGCAAAUUACUAAUAAAUGUGUAACCUUAUGUAACUUGUGUUACAUCAAGUAACAAGCUAAUCUAGUUUGUUUCACUGGACUAGGCUUGUGCUCCCUACUUCAGUAUUUUGAUGCUUUCCUUGAUCUUUGUUUCACAAAAUGUUGUGAAUUUUGGUAUCAUUCAAAACAAAUGACAUUUAUUAGGUUUCAUUUUGAAACGAUGUACAGACAAGUCCCCAACUUAGAAACCGGUUUGUUCUUAAGGUUCUUGCGUCAGCCCAUAGAAGCCCACUGACCUCCACCACAGCCCAAAUGGAGGGCUGUGAUAGCCAGAUCUGGUUGGCUUUUGUGGGCUGACCCAGACAUUUAAUCACCAUCUCUUAUGUUGUUGCCGUAAGAAAUGCAUUCCAGGUUGGGACUUGGGAUCCUGAGAGCACAUUCGCCCCCUGUGGUGGCCGCUUGCCACCUUGCAAGAUGGAAGCCCAGUCUCCUUACUACCAAACUGUAGUUGUAAGCAGAGGGAGGGGUGAGAUGUUUAUAGGACAUUCCCUAAGCUGGGGAGUGAUUUUUAUCACUAUUCAUGUCAACUGUACUUUGGUAUAGACUCCCUAUCAAUUUAAUAAUAUGAAAAGCCUAAAAUAAAACUAUGCAUGCUAUUCUAUGUGCUAUUUUAUAUCAGUAAAUAAGCUUAUGCUUGCCAGUUGUAUACACAGUUAUGAGGUGUAUAGAACUGACUUUGACAGUAUUUUUUGCACUGUUUCCUAUCUGUUUUUAUAAAGUCUUAUUUAGAUAUUGGACCUUGUUGAUGUUCUCACUGCCCUUGUGCUUGCUAUAAAAUGUUUCAUAUGUGCCUUUACAAAUGUGAGAUCUUUAUUCUAACCUUUUUUUGUAAAAGAUAUCUAUUGAUUUCCAUAUGCAAUAAACCUUUUUUUCAGAG
rnacentral:lncRNA from 1 species